rnacentral:rRNA from 1 species
UACGUAGGGGGCAAGCGUUGUCCGGAUUUAUUGGGCGUAAAGAGCGUGUAGGCGGCCAGGUAGGUCCGUUGUGAAAACUCGAGGCUCAACCUCGAGACGUCGGCGGAAACCCUCUGGCUAGAGUCCGGAAGAGGAGAGUGGAAUUCCUGGUGUAGCGGUGAAAUGCGCAGAUAUCAGGAAGAACACCCGUGGCGAAGGCGGCUCUCUGGGACGGUACUGACGGCUGAGACGCGAAACGUGGGGAGCAAACAGG